rnacentral:rRNA from 1 species
UACGUAGGUGGCAAGCGUUGUCCGGAUUUACUGGGCGUAAAGGAUGCGUAGGCGGACAUUUAAGUCAGAUGUGAAAUACCCGAGCUUAACUUGGGUGCUGCAUUUGAAACUGGGUGUCUAGAGUGCAGAAGGGGCAACUGGAAUUCUCGGUGUAGCGGUGAAAUGCGUAGAUAUCGAGAGGAACACCUGCGGCGAAGGCGGGUUGCUGGGCUGACACUGACGCUGAUGCGCGAAAGCUAGGGGAGCGAACGGG